rnacentral:rRNA from 1 species
GUAGGUGAACUGCGGAAGGAUCAUAA